rnacentral:rRNA from 1 species
CUCGGGUCCAGGCUCGCGGUUCGCCUCGCGGCGAUCACUGCCCGUCCUGACCUACCUCCCGGUUUUCCCUUGGUGCUCUUCGCUGAGUGCUUCGGGUGGCCGGAACGUUUACUUUGAAAAAAUUAGAGUGCUCAAAGCAGGCGGACCGCCUGAAUAAUCGCGCAUGGAAUAAUGGAAUAGGACCUCGGUUCUAUUUUGUUGGUUUUCGGAACUCGAGGUAAUGAUUAAGAGGGACAGACGGGGGCAUCUGUAUGGUGGUGUUAGAGGUGAAAUUC